CCUACGGGAGGCAGCAGUGAGGAAUAUUGGUCAAUGGACGCAAGUCUGAACCAGCCAUGCCGCGUGCAGGAAGACGGCUCUAUGAGUUGUACACUGCUUUUGUACGAGGGUAAACGCAGAUACGCGUAUCUGUCUGAAAGUAUCGUACGUAUAAGGAUCGGCUAACUCCGUGCCAGCAGCCGCGGUAAGACGGAGGAUUCAAGCGUUAUCCGGAUUUAUUGGGUUUAAAGGGUGCGUAGGCGGUCGGAUAAGUUAGAGGUGAAAUCCCGAGGCUCAACUUCGGAAUUGCCUCUGAUACUGUUCGGCUAGAGAGUAGUUGUGGUAGGCGGAAUGUAUGGUGUAGCGGUGAAAUGCUUAGAGAUCAUACAGAACACCGAUUGCGAAGGCAGCUUACCAAGCUACUUCUGACGUUGAGGCACGAAAGCGUGGGGAGCAAACAGGAUUAGAUACCCUUGUAGUC
rnacentral:rRNA from 1 species